CGACAUUCUAAUGAACUAUUAUAAAUAACAGUAAAAAUGUAAAAGCCUCUAUUUUCAAGCGGACAACCAGACUAUUAAUUUAAUGGUGAAACAUUUUUUUUGUGAAUUAAAAGAUAGUAGAUAAUCGUUUACUUAUAUGACACUUUAUGGAUUCUUGUAGCGGUUUGCUGUGUUUUAUUGUUCAUCAUUACAGUAGUUAUUGGCUUUAUAGCAUUCAAAAGGCUUUGUUGCAGACGUUCUGGACAACCAAGAAUAAUACGUCAAAGUACCGAGAAUCAAAGUCCCGCAGUUCCAAUGUCUGAUAUAGAACAAAAUGACAAUAUUUCUGAUCAAAGACAGGUAGCACAAUAUCAAAAUGAUGAUAAUAUGAUGCAGGAACAAGUUUUCCAAAUAUACAAUGAAUUUCCACGUCCAGAACCGUCUGCACCCCCUCUACCACCGGAAUAUAUUAUGGAAUAAACUUGACAUUAGAUUGGAAAUACAAAUUAUAUUUUGUGUGCGCUUAAAAGUCGUAUACAGAACAUUUAACUUAUUUCUUAGGUAAAUUUCUUAGAAUGAAAAACAUUGAUAUUUGUAUCAGUUUACCAUUGAUAAUCAUUCCAUAGCUUUGCUCGCUUUCAUCCAGUUUAUUUUAAUGUAAUCAUACAUUGUACAGUUAUUUGAAAAAAAUUGAAAAAUGUUGAAUAUCCAGUCUAAAUGCAUGUUCUUCUAUUCCGAUAUGCCAAUUUAUUAAGGCACUUGAAAUGUCUUUGAGUUACAAAGUUUGAAAAUAACUGAUUUUUUUCUAAGCAGAAUUAUGCUAUCAUUUAAUUUCGUGGGCAUAAAUGUUCGUGAUUUUGACCAAAACUGUUAUUUCUUGGGGAUAUAAAUUCGUCGAUUUCAACUUUUGAACAUAAAAUAUAUGUGAAUUUUAUUUUUACGUUGGGACUUAAUUCCGUGGAUUGACGCAACGCGGAAUCCUCGAAAAUUAGUCCCCCACGAAAAUUAAUGAUUUCACAGUAUGUUUUAAAUUAAUAUCACAAAACAACUACUAUAAUGUUUACUUGCCUGCCUUUGAUGAGCCGAGGCAAAUAUUUCUAAACAUUACUAUUUAUUUAAAAUUUAAUUCAAUGUUCUGCACAAAAUACUCAUAUGAAGUUACGAGAUAAAAAAUUUAUUUGUGACAGGCCGUGCAAACUGACGUCAAAAUUGAUUUGAUCUUACCACAUUAAAAAGUUUGUUUUUUCUGCUUGCCUUUUCGUAAAACGGUUUUCCAACAAUGUGGCUUUCAACUCGUAAUCAUAGUUUAAGUAAAUUAUUAUGAAGAAGCAGUCGAUCUUUAAAGAUGCAUGCAUUUGCUGUUAACCUGUUUAAACAUUUAUGACUAUUUACAUUGCGAAUAUUUAUACUCAUAUUAUUCAAAACGUUAGUAAUAUGACAAAAAUAUGUGUUUUUAAUAGUUUUUCGUAAGAUAUUGUACAUUAUGUAAGGCACUGCAAUUGAAAAAUAAAAGUAAAAUUCAUGUAUUA